AUUGAACGCUGGCGGCGGGCCUAACACAUGCAAGUCGAACGAGUGGCGGACGGGUGAGCAAUGUCUUGGAAACUGCCUGACGUACGGGGCUAACUACUGGAAACGGUAGCUAAUAGCGCAUACCAUCAGAUGGGCCGAGAUGGGAUUAGCGAGUUGGUGGGGUAACGGCUCACCAAGGCGACGAGCCCUAGCUGGCCUGAGAGGAUGACCAGCCACACUGGAACUGAGACACGGCCCAGACUCCUACGGGAGGCAGCAGUGGGGAAUAUUGGACAAUGGGCGAAAGCCUGAUGCAGCAAUGCCGCGUGUAUGAAGAAGGCCUUCGGGUUGUAAAGUACUUUUAUCGGGGAGGCGGUAUCUAAACAAGAAGCAACGGCUAACUCCGUGCCAGCAGCCGCGGUAAUAC
rnacentral:rRNA from 1 species